rnacentral:misc_RNA from 1 species
GAUGAAGAACGUAGCGAAAUGCGAAAGUAGUGUGAAUUGCAGAAUUCAGUGAAUCAUCGAAUCUUUGAACGCACAUUGCGCCCCUUGGUAUUCCAUGGGGCAUGCCUGUUCGAGCGUCAUUUGUACCUUCAAGCUUUGCUUGGUGUUGGGUGUUUGUCUCGCCUUUGCGUGUAGACUCGCCUUAAAAUAAUUGGCAGCCGGCGUAUUGAUUUCGGAGCGCAGUACAUCUCGCGCUUUGCACUCAUAACGACAGCGUCCAAAAGUACAUUUUACACUCUUGACCUCGGAUCAGGUAGGGAUACCCGCUGAACUUAAGCAUAUCAAUAAGCGGAGGA